GGUGCUCAGAUAUGACCAAGGUCAGUAGAAGAUGGAGAAGAAGGAUGUCCCAUGCCAUACUGCUACUGCCACACGUAGACCGAAAAGAUGGCACUGAACCCGGCAGCAGUAUCUCUGACACUAAGUACCGUUUAUGAAGAUACCAGAAGCGCCCUACCCAGAGACACGUUUGGUGUUCGACACAUAGGCCUACUGGUACAGCCCCACACCCAUGUCAAGAUUGCCUCCUAUGCCGACGUUUGUCUAUUCGUUAAUUUGCAGGGACGACAUUAAAACUGCAAUCUAAUUGGCUGACUGUAGAAGGCACGUGACUGAUGGAACCACGCCCAGCCUUCUGCCCGUAUUAAGGAACUGGACACACUCAUGCAAACGAGCGCACACGUACAUACAGUUAUAACGAUUGAACAGGUUUAUGAACUGGUGAACUGGCGCGUGAUCUUGUUGUGAUUUUAAAAACGUUUUAGGAUUACAUAUUGAUUUUCUUAAGUUGAAAUGAUUUACUGAUGUAAUUCAUAAGCCAUAUACCUUAGGUAUGAAUCAUAAUUCUUUUUAAUUGUUCCAAACAACUAGCUCAGAUGAAUCUGAUUCCAUUAAAACCCUUUCGGCUACCUCAAACUGUCUACACGAUUAAUUAAACUUUGGGGAUAAAGGUGUUUUUUCAUCGUAUAGUUGGUGUGAUCUCUGGUAAGUUCAUUCUUUAAAGUCGAUUAGCUAUCACAUAUUUUUUCUUAAUUGACAUUGUAGAAUUGCAUUAUUAAUUUUAGGAGUUUAUUACGAUGUAAUCGUAAACCAACGCGUUACGAAGUAUUUCACCCGAAUAAAAGUACAUUUCUUUU